UUGAAAUCCAUUGACACUGAAGUGCUCUAUUUAUCCGCAGAGCAGGUAAAGCAUGGGCAACUACAGUACAGUCUUCUUCACAAUGCAGCACCUGAAAUCUAAACCGGAGACAUCUAUAGGAGUGAGAUCAUACUUCAGAUUCCAUGUGAAUUCAAUCUUUGGUUUCU
rnacentral:sRNA from 1 species